UACAGAGGGUGCGAGCGUUACUCGGAAUUACUGGGCGUAAAGCGUGCGUAGACGGUUAUUUAAGUCGGGUGUGAAAGCCCCGGGCUCAACCUGGGAAUUGCAUUCGAGACUGAAUAGCUAGGGUACGGUAGAGGGAAGUGGAAUUUCCGGUGUAGAGGUGAAAUUCGUAGAUAUUCGGCGGAACACCAGUGGCGAAGGCGACUCACUGGCCCGAUACUGACGCUGAGGCGCGAAAGCGUGGGGAGCAAACAGG
rnacentral:rRNA from 1 species